AGAGGGGAGGCCUGGAUGCGAGGAAACCGGCGAUCUCCGCCCGGAGGAGGAACAAAGCCUUGGCCGCUUCCCACCCGAACGCAUUGCAGCUAAAGGGGUGGGAGGUCCUGCUUUCCGUUUAUAUGUCCUUGGUCUCCCUUAUCUUGCCAGAGCCUGCACUCGACCCACUUUGGGUUUAAAGGCCUCACAUGGCCAUACUCAGCACUUGGAUGUUAAUGUCUGAGCACCAGAACUGUGGAAGAAGAGUGAUGCAAGGUGUAGGCUCCCUGACAUUAGUCCCUGUGCUUGAUGACUGGUUGCAUCAAUGGGUAGUGCUCUCUAGCACACAGGUAAAUAGUUUCACUCAGAGCCAUUUUUGUACCUGCCUCUUACAUGUUUUCCAUUUUCUUUCUUCAAAACUGGGC